AUACGGAGGGAGCAAGCGUUAUUCGGAAUCACUGGGCGUAAAGGACGCGUAGGCGGGUUUGUAAGUCAGGUGUGAAAUCCUACAGCUCAACUGUAGAACUGCACUUGAAACUACAGACCUAGAGUAUGGAAGGGGCAGAUGGAAUUAGUGGUGUAGGGGUAAAAUCCGUAGAUAUCACUAGGAAUACCGAAAGCGAAGGCGAUCUGCUGGGGCAUUACUGACGCUGAGGCGUGAAAGCGUGGGGAGCAAACAGGAUUAGAAACCCGGGUAGUCC
rnacentral:rRNA from 1 species